GGGGUGCAACACGAGUACUUCCCAGGAGGUCACCCAUCCUAGUACUACUUUCGCCCAAGCACGCUUACCUGCGGAGUU
rnacentral:rRNA from 1 species